rnacentral:rRNA from 1 species
UACGGAGGGGGCAAGCGUUGUUCGGAAUUACUGGGCGUAAAGGGCGCGCAGGCGGUCGUUCAAGUCGAGUGUGAAAGCCCCCGGCUCAACUGGGGAGGGUCACUCGAUACUGAUCGACUGGAAGGCAGGAGAGGGAAGCGGAAUUCCCGGUGUAGUGGUGAAAUGCGUAGAUAUCGGGAGGAACACCAGUGGCGAAGGCGGCUUCCUGGCCUGUUCUUGACGCUGAGGCGCGAAAGCUAGGGGAGCAAACGGG